rnacentral:lncRNA from 1 species
GGGAGAAGGAACACAAGACUCCGGAAGCAUGCCAGCGUAUAAAACCACACUUUGCCUCAUUGGUUCGUGCCUCAGCUUCCAAUCUGGACAUGGAGCACAAUAACAGUGGGCCCACUGCUCUCCGAAUUCCUGCGCGCACUUGAAGGGAGUGUCUGGUGCAGGCAUGCAGGGAGGAAGAAUGACUCUGAGCUUGACCAUUCAACUUCGAAACUUUAACAUCAAUGGAUCAGCACACACUGGUGUACGGUCUGCUAUGCAUGCAGCCCUGUGCUAGGCAAAAGAAGUAUCAGACCAGGAACUGACAGCCUCACUGCAACAGGAAGAGAGGCUUCACACAAUAAGCGUUUCAUUCAACCAGGCUGGACCUGUGCUUAUUGAGUUGAACAUCACUGAGCACAAAAUGCAAGCCAGACACCAUAAGAGCUGUAAGGAUGAUAAAGAUGUCUUUCUACCCUCGAGAGCUCUAAGUGUGGUCAGGAGAGAAACACAUGCAAAGAUUAUGCUGGCUGGAAGGAAAUGCUGGAAUGAAGGUGGAAGGUACAUCCAGAAUGUUCUGGGGGUGAGGAAUAGCGAAUGAUGGGUUCUGACUUAGAACAUGAAGGGAAGGUAUUAAGAAAGAGGUGAUAUUAAGCAUUUAUUGAGCAUCUCUACUUUUUUUGUGUAUGUGACCUUGUUUGGAAAUACAAUAUCUCUUCUUGAUGCUGGCAA